rnacentral:lncRNA from 1 species
UUCAUUUUUCUUUGCUUUAAGCUUGAAUGUUGGUCACAGUUUUUGAUGGUGGAAAGAGAGAAGCACAAAUUGGUUUUUUUUAUUCUUUCUUUGAAAAUGUUAUUGCAUUAGGUUACUGUGACAAUGGAAUGAAGCUCGUUGAUUUAUAGAUAGCCUAAUGGUCUCACGGUGAUUCAUUGCAUUUAAUUUCUUUUAAGGAACAUUCCUUUUCAUUUAGCUGAAGAUGUGCACCCGGUGAUGGCUGUGGGUUCUUUUUUAUAAGAUUUAAUUUUUCUUUUCUUGGAGCUGGACGGUGCACCCAAAGAAAGGUCUAGGCUUGGUCAUUUGUUAUUUACAUUUGAAUGAUUCUUUUUCUUUGCUUGAGCGUGAAGGGAAUGUCAUGGCUGGUAAAAUUAGCUUUCAUGUGUGAUUUUUAAUUCGAGAUGCACUUGGAGAAUGAAAUGGGAGUCACGGCCAAGAGGGUGUUUAGGCCAUUUUGAAUUUUCAACUUCUUUUAUAGGCACCUAGGUCACGUGAAUGGAAGGAAAAAAAAAUUGUGUUUGUUUAUUUCUUUAGCUUUAAAUUAUUUUACAAAGUGUCUUGAGUUACUUUUUAUCUUUUUAAUUUAGUUGCAUUUUAAUAGUUUUAAUUGUGUUUGGAUAUCUGUUUGCAUCUAUGAUUUUGUUCAUCUGCAUUCACAAACUUUUCACAAAACCCCUCCCACUGCAUCUCUGACCUAAUUCUCGAACCACAGUUUGGUCCUUAAGAGACGACCUAGGAGUCAUUCCCUAGCUAUACUACAUUUCCAUAUGCAAUCGAAUUUGUAUGGGUUGCGAUAACUCAUCAAAUUUUGGCGCCAUUGUCGGGGACCAACGGUUCGGUUUUAGGUCUUCUGUUGUGUUUGUGUGUGUUGUGUCUUGUCUUGUGUUGUGAGUGUGUUGUUCUGUUUUGUGUGUCAUGUCAUGUGUGUUGCAUUUAGAUAACUUUAGUUGCAUAUUUUCAUUGCAUUCUUCAUUUCCCCAUUCUUUCCCAUGUCUACCUAUUUUGGUUUUGUGAGCAAUGCUUAUUCUGCCUGUGUCUAUAAUUCUCCUUCUACAUCUGACUCUGAUAUUUCUUGUGAUGCAUAUUCUGCUGAUGUCUAUGUUGAGAACAGUACGG